UGUUUAUACAUACAUAUGUUCACUUGGGGCCUGACUAGUAACCUGUAACUAUGGAAACGGAGGCUGCCAGCACAGCUGCGAAGACACGGACACGGGCCCCAUGUGUGGCUGCCACCAGAAGUAUGCCCUCCACUCUGACGGUCGGACGUGCAUCGAGAAGGAUGAGGCUGCAAUUGAGCGCUCUCAGUUCAAUGCCACGUCAGUAGCUGAUGUGGACAAGCGGGUGAAACGGCGGCUACUCAUGGUUGGCUCCCCCAGAGGCUCCAGAGCACGGCUGCA